rnacentral:misc_RNA from 1 species
GUAUUGCGUGAUGGAUCCCUGCUCGGGCAGCGACAUCAUCUCAUCCACGUCUCUUCAUUUGUUGGCGCGAGCRCCUGCUCGGCCGGUGUUGGUUUUCCUGUGCUGGAUACCCGUAUCGAGGCACUACGUCGGUUAAAUCGUCCCUAUGCCGCCUCGUGCCGCUGCUCCUCGUGGGCAAGCGGCCCGGGGUGGCCCAAGUAGCGCACGCCGCGUGUCCCAUCCCGUUCGCCCCGUUACAAGGGUGCUCGGGCUGAUGAUCCGCGGCUUGAUGCUCGGUCUCUCGGGUGCGGAAUGUCGUGUUGGUGCGACGUGGCCAUCGGCCUCGGAGCACCACGAACAAGCGUUCUACGCUUCGUGCGGACGACUGUCGGCUCGGCCUCCGGCYGGCCCUCGCGGCUCAGUUCGGAACCGUGCCGGCGUCGGUGAGGAAUGCUACCU